CUGGUCUCACUAUGGGGGAGGUGGAUGAGGAGCCCUCAGGAUCACAGACUUAAGACCGUGAGUAAAUCCACAGAAAAAGCAAAAAGAAAAAUUCUUUUCAACAUAAAAUGAUUAAUUUUUUUUGUUUUUUUUGAGACAGGGUCUCAUUAUGUCGUCUAGGCUGGCCUCAAACUCAUGGCGAGCCUCCUGCCUCAGCCUCCUGAGUGCUAGAAUAUAGACGUGCACCACCACCACGCCUGGCUUGGAAAAAACCUGCUUCCCGGUGCCUCAGAAUGUGCCUGUGUUGGAGUUAAAGAGAUUGUUCACCACCAUGGCAUUCCUUAACCACAAUGUACGAGGUCUUUUCCUGUUGCUAGUAACACAAUACCAGAAUAGGCUUUCACAUAAGGACAAGCGAGGAGCCCAACUGGAAGAAGACGGAAGACAGAAAGACUGCACAGGCAGCUCACCCUGGAGAGCUGGGCUCUCUCUUCCCCUACACUUCGCAUCAUAAAGUGAAAUAAAGGCUUAGUUGCCUGGCCUGGUAGGGCAGGCCUGUGCUCCCAGCAUUCCGCCUGAAGCAGGAGGAGCCUCCUUCCAGAGUGCUUGGAUCACAGGUGUGCACCACCACCCCUGGCCUCAGAGCUGUUCUGCAACCAGAGAGGGGCUCGUGACUCCGGCCCAGCUCCCCUCAUGGCUCUGGGUGGACAACACAGACAGGCCUAGGGUGGGGACCGCCACCCCUGGCUAGCAAUUCCAGGGUGGUCUCCAGGGAGCCGGCGGCUCACAGGCCUGGGAGCAGAGUCUUCCUGGAGCCCAGUCCCCAGGGGUCUCCUUCUGUACCCCAGGAUGGCCUUGAACUCAAGGCUAUCCUCCUGCCUCAGCAUCCAGAAUGCAGAGAUUGCAGAUGCGUGCCACCACACCCCGCGGCCAGAGAAGUGGUCUCUAGCCUGAGGCGAUCAGCAGCCCCUACAGAGAACAAGAGCCACCCAGAGUGGGGGCAUCAGAGCCCCGAGACUUGGCUAGAACCUUCCCUGGACAGAAUCUUCGUUCUGUGUGGGGAGGGAGGUUGAGACAACAGGCACUAAGGUAGGCACACGGAGGAGCACCCGGGCCCUGCUAUUCAGGAACAAAAGGACAUGCAGCACAAACUUGGGCCCUCAGUGCCCUUAGUAUUGUACAUAGGUAAGUUAAUUAGUUAUCUUGUAGGCAGUUAGACAGGAGCCACCCUCACGGAGCCAACACAGCGAGGAGCCAACAUGGAGGACAACUGAGGCACAUUAACUGGUUAGCAUUAUAAAGAGAAGAGAAGUGGGCCGGGGAUUUAGCUCAGUGGUUCUGCCUCCUGCCCCGCAAGUGCAAGGAUCAGACUUUGAUCCCCGGUACCAAAAAAAAAAAAAAAAAAAAAAAAAAAAAAAAAAAAAAAAAGAAGAAGAGCUCUACUUCCCCUAGAGAUAGCAGUGAUUGAUAUUCCAAAUGGGAAACUUCUCGUAUGUGACUUGUUUUCCCAUUUGAUCCCCAUUUAAUCAGUAUUACCUGGGUCACUGUACUGAAGGACCCUUGUUAGCAAGACAGACUCCAUAUUGCUGCUUGACCCACCUGCCUACCCUUUAGAUGAACUCAGAAGGAGGAAACUUAAAAACCUCCUCCCCUUGGAGAGUCUCUUUAGAAAUAACAGUUAAUCAACUAUUGUUUUAUAAAUGUUCUAACAGCAGGACGUUCUGCUUCUGUACCUUUUGAUUGCUUUACUAGUUCUAUCCCUUAGGGGGCCCUAGAAACUGUAGGCCUCAAAGGUGUAUAAAAUAUGUUAAUCUUCCCCCAGUUGGGCUGAAGUCCGCUGCUCGGUCCCGGCUGGUAAUAAACUCCUGUGUGG
ensembl:lncRNA